rnacentral:rRNA from 4 species
CCUACGGGAGGCAGCAGUGGGGAAUUUUGGACAAUGGGCGCAAGCCUGAUCCAGCCAUGCCGCGUGAGUGAAGAAGGCCUUCGGGUUGUAAAGCUCUUUCGGCGGGGAAGAAAUUGCACGGGUUAAUACCCUGUGUAGAUGACGGUACCCGAAUAAGAAGCACCGGCUAACUACGUGCCAGCAGCCGCGGUAAUACGUAGGGUGCGAGCGUUAAUCGGAAUUACUGGGCGUAAAGCGUGCGCAGGCGGUUUGGUAAGUCAGAUGUGAAAUCCCCGGGCUCAACCUGGGAACUGCAUUUGAGACUGCCAGGCUGGAGUUUGGCAGAGGGGGGUGGAAUUCCACGUGUAGCAGUGAAAUGCGUAGAGAUGUGGAGGAACACCGAUGGCGAAGGCAGCCCCCUGGGCCAAUACUGACGCUCAUGCACGAAAGCGUGGGGAGCAAACAGGAUUAGAUACCCUGGUAGUCCACGCCCUAAACGAUGUCAACUAGGUGUUGGGAGGGUUAAACCUUUUAGUGCCGUAGCUAACGCGUGAAGUGACCGCCCUGG